rnacentral:sRNA from 1 species
GUUGAGGCUGCGAGAUCACGUGACAGCCUCUGGCCCACGGCGGAGGGUAACGCUACCUCCUACUGGAAGGAGGGAGUUCCGUCAAUCAGAGCGAUCUCAGGGAGACAAAGCUUUUCACCUGCGAAGAUUCCAGAAGUCUUAAAUCAUCCAGAAUUACGUCUUGGUUUGUCUCCGUGCAUUGACACAACUGAUUGGAGGAGCAUAUAAAUUUACAAACUGCGCUUUGACAGAAUGUUCUUAAGUAGAGAGCAAAGUGAGGGUACAGUGUGGCAAUUUGAGAAGAUUGAAGUUUCAGAGUGAAAAAAGUAAUCCAAGUGUUAGGAACAAAGGGACCGGCAUGCUUUGCUGAGUCUAUCUUUGGCGUUUGUAAUUUUGGUGUAAAAUAAGGCACUGUUUAUUACUGACUUCUCAGGCAAAGUUUACCUCUUGAACCAACUACUUAACAGAGAAAACUAACAGUUACGAUUCACUCAUGCAGAUGUUUACUAGCACUUGGAUGGCCACCUGCCCUGAAGUGCCCCUGUGUGUUCCUUCCUCUGUUUCCAUAGCUACCUCUUAGCAAUGUUCUUUCAAUGAAAAUCAAAUCACAGUGGAGUCAGGUCAGUUUGUGCUUUAAAGAAAGCUGUAGGUACAACAAGUGUUUGAGACAUCAGGUUACAAAUAAAGCAAUCAGCGGAGCCGAGAGUGGUGGUACACCUCUUCCAUCCAAGCACCCUGCAGGCAGAGUCAGGUGAAUCUCUGUGAAUUCAAAGUCAGCCUUAGCAUAGCAAGUCCCAGGGAAGGUCAUAUAGUGAAACACCAACUCAAACAAACAAAUAAAUAGGACAAUGAGCUGGAAACCUAGCAUGUGGAAACUUAGAAGAUGGGACAGGAAGGAGAGCUGAAAGUUGAAGUCCAGCUUGGGCUCUAUAGAAAGACUCAGCUUCAAAAAACAAACAAAACCAGGAUGUUUCAUACUAGUAAGACUGUGAGACAUGACGAAUUGGAUAUAGUGAAAGCCAUAAUAAUCAUGUAAACUUAUUAAUGACUACAGAUGCUGCAAGUCUGUAAAUGAAGACAAGAACAAUAUCGUCAUUGCUUCAAGGAAACACCUUUGGAGCUGGAGAGAUGACUCAUGGGUUCCUGCUCACUUCCAGUGACCCCAAGUUAUGUUUCUAGCACCCACACCAGACAACUCACACACCUUCGCAUGAUAUCCUAGGGAUCCUCUCUCUUGUGGACCAAGAGUGCCCAGAGCACAUGUGGCACAUUUGUGCAUACAUAUGCUCACACAUACACGUUCACACACAAACAUGCUCACACACACAAUAAGACACAGUGCAAAAAAGAAGCUGCCUUCUCAUACAUCUUAUGUGAAACAUUACAAUAUAUAUUUAACAUAUAAAUGUUUGCAAUUAUAUGUAAAGUAACAUAAUAUUUUUAUUUGCCAACCUAUUAUUAAUUAGCUAAAAAAACUUUAUAAUUGAAUAAAAGAUACAUUUUGGCUAAAUUCUGUCCUAUCAUGUGCUAAUAAAUCCUGGAGUAUUUGGGAUUUUGCUCUCCACUCAAUGACAUCUAAACUGAGAGAAGCCAAGUUCUUAGAGUUGUGAGCCAAGUCAAGAGGGUGCAGUGCCAUUAGAGGGCAGAGAACAUUAUCUGGGAUGUUUACUCACUCGGGGCUGGAGGAGGAAGGGAAGGGAGGAAAAACCAAGAGGGAAGAUGGAAAGACUUGGGUCACAGUUUGCCUUAAGCAUUCUCGAAUGAGUCCACCUGAGCCAGGAAGUGAGUCACAGCAUAAGGCUGGGAUCAGAGUGGGGAGAUCACUAAGAAGUGACUCAGGGGCAGCAAAUACAGAAAAGAAAAGAAUUAAAAGGGAAUGUAGGUGGUGGUAAUUGGAGAGACAGGAAAAAUGCUUUUAAAAAAUUUUAGGCCAGAAAAUAGAGAUUUGAGAUAAUGCUGACAAAUAUGUGAAAAAUACUCAAUUAUUUCUGAAAUUACAGGCCUAGCUGUUGCUUUUAGCAUUUUUCAAAGUAUGAGGACCCUUUAUUUAUUUCCUGUCCAACCUAUUGUACAUGCAGUGCACAAGUGAAGUUACCCCGUUUAAAUCUUAUUUCUUUGCUCCAUGGUAACUAGGCAUUUUGAGCAAUGUCUUGUGGAAGAGGGAAUUUCCUGCACUACAGUCUGGAGCCCAUGCCUAGCUUAGUCCUUGUUUACCAGUGUCUUUUAUUCUCCAUUCUUAUUUCUGCUGGGGUUAAUUAAAUGGUUGUUUCAGAAGUACUUCUUCGAGUUGAUUAGAGUCUCAUUGAGAUAAUUGCUUCAAAUGGGAAUUAGUUCAGUGCUCAGCGCAGUGCCACUGUUAACUUCGUAUGGCACACGGUCUUGGAAGAAAGAAGAGAAAAUAGGAUCAGGGACAAAGGACGUUGAAAAGCUUUGCAUGUAUCUUAUACCCUGGGCAAAUUACACUCAACUGUACCUAGUUGUUCCAGUAGUCAGCAUUGCUUAUAUGAAACUUACAAAAAUUAUUUACUUGUUGUGCCCGUGUACUGCAUGCAAACAGACACUCUUAGAAUACCAUGUGUCAUUGCACACAUGUGAAAGUCAGAAGA